ensembl:lncRNA MANCR mitotically associated long non coding RNA
GAACAAGUCUCUGUUUGUUUCGUACCAUUCAGAUUUCCUCGUCUGUAAACAUUAAGUAUCUACAUUCACUAAAAGUAGUUCUGAAUGAAUGUUAUUUAAUGGUGCCAAUGAUGUUGGAGGAUACCUGUGCAUCUCAUGCUGUGGUUACAGCAUCAAUUGUGAUGAAUAUAGGAUACUGAGUCCCUCCUAGAAAUGACUUCAGGAACUUCACCCCCCAACUCCACAAUCUGGGAAUGGCAGACAGAUUCAGCACCAGGAGAACAUCACAUAAAGGACAAGUGUGUAUGUUUAAAAAUGGCAAGUUUCGGCCUGGCAUGGUGGCUCACGUCUAUAAUCCCAGCACUUUGGGAGGCUGAGUCUAAGUGUACAGUGCUUGUAAAGUCUGCAGUAGCAUACAGUAAUGUCCAAGGCUUUCACAUCCACUCACCACUCGCUCACUGACCCAGCCAGAGCAACUUCCAGUCCUGAAAGCUGCAUUCAUGACUCAAUCACCACAAUUGCAAUCAAAAGACGGCUUUAGUUGGAACCUGGAACGUGCUAAUCCUGUCAGGCAGCCUGUGAUUCUGGAAGUGAAGGAACAAAAAAAAAAAAAAAAAGGGAAAAUUUCACAUAAAAUUUCCAUAUGAGGAAGAAGAUGGAAACUUUUGUGUUGUGCGUUCAGUAAAACGGGCACUUUCUUAAGCAGGUGGCAAAGAAAGCCUGAGAAUCCGGCCUGACUUUUUCAUUUCAGAACCCUGCAUUUCCCACACAGAGGAGAUAGAGCACAGCCAUUGCAUGGUAGAUCCAGCUUGCUCUCACAGCCAUUGUGCAAAUAAACAUACAUGUGGCAAGGCAGUGCAGUUUUCAGUUGUUAAAAGUUCUGUCAUGCCACGAGAUGGAGCAAAGGAUAAACGCUGAUGUAAACAGGCAACAGGACUCUGACUCCACACCCCUGUCUGCACGGAGGAUGCUCAGUCCUUACACAACAAAAUGUGAGAUGCUUCCAGUCACCUCCUGGCCCUGACCCCUGAGCUCCGUGCUCACCCCACUGGAGGUCCUGGCAGUUCUCCGAGCAGGCUGUACCUGUCUGGGGUGAUCCUCUCCACUUAAUGUUAGACAUUAAGUUCCCUGUGAAAUCUGUUUUGACUCACUGAGGUUAUGAAUAUUUUAUCACAACUAUCAUCAUAUACUACCAAAUCUCCAAUUUUCUUAUCUCCAUUACUAGACUGUGAGCUCCCUGGAGGCUGGACCUGGGUUUGGCACCGAGUGGCACUCAUACAUACUUCUUGAAUAAGAGAAUGUAUGUACACAGUGGCAUGAAAUUGAUUUGAAUUUGUUGGUUUUCUUAAGUGCUAAAGUUGUAGACAGUUCAGUAAAAACUAUAAAGCGGUUACCCUGUAAACCAUGAGUACUAUUAAUUGGAACCUCCUUUCUUACAUAUCCACUUGUGUUUCUGUUAAUGUUUCCAAAAUAAAUAAAGAGCAGGCUAGAGGGAAACCUCCAGUCCUUAGAAACCACGGCACAAGAAUACAUCUGUAUUUGCACUCUG